AUGGCAUUGUGACCUUGAGGCAGGAGGACUGGGAUACUCCUUGAGGAGCAAGGACUCACAAUGAGGGCAAGGUACAUCAUCAUACAGUGCUCUGCAUCUAGGAGGUCUGUGGGAAGCUGGGGAGCCUCAACGGCUGCUGCAGCCAAAACUGGAGUCUGAGCUUUGCUGGAGGUGUGGGCUUGUCACAUGCUCUGUCCUUCAUCUGUCCACUUGAAAGUCAUGCUUAGCCUACACAUUAUAGCUGCUUGGAGAGACAGCGGUUCCCUUCAACACACUAGCUCUCAGGUAGCUAGUAGAACUGAGAUUACUGCAGUGGUUUGGAGAAGAAGGAAAUUAUCGCCAGGCUGGAUAAAAUCUUAAGGUUGAUGCAGGCAGAGCUCCUGCCAGAUGAAGCAUUUGCACCUGGAAAUCCACAGGGCAGAAGAUUGGCGCUGGAGCAUUUGUGUUGCCAUCAGCAGGGCAGCAGCUCGCCUGCACGUACUCAGACUCCCAGGAGGCCAGGGCUCCAGGCUCCUCAAGGAGCUGCACAGAACACGAAGUGUUCCUUCAGUCUACACUCAUUGUAGGAGCCACAAAACACCACUAUCCUGUAACAAAUGCACAGCCUCCACUGCACAUGUAGAUCCACCUGAUCUCAUUUCAUUUCAGAGUGCUGCAUUGCCCCAACAAAAAUGUAGAAUGCUGAUGAUUCAGGAAGGAGAGAAGAUUACAUCACCACAAUAUCCAUGCAAAUAAGUGGACACAUUUACUGUUGAGUAGUACAUCCCCUGGAAAAUCUACAGGGACAACAGUAGAGGGGAGGAAAAAUAUACAGUUAAGCAAGAUACAAAUGCAGGGACGCACACCACCAGGCUGCAUUUUGUCCCUCUGCUGUGAAGAACACUAUAAUGGCAUGAGAAAGACCGGUGACCCAUUUCAUAUUGCCUGUGAUGGCAGGAGGAUUCUUCCCCACUAUGUUUGAUUCCUAGGGCUGUACAAGGAGCAGCACUCAAUGCCAUAAAUGUUACAGAUGCAAGCAGCUUUGAAGAAGUCAAUAGGACUGUUCAGCAGGGCUCUUUGUAAGAGCUCAAAACCAGCCCCUUAUUUUGGUAGAGAAGCAUAGUAACAAGUCCUGCUGCUGCAGCAAUACAUACACUACUGCUGAGGACCUGAUAAAGGAUACAUUGUGCAAUAAGAGUUGUAAACAGAUAUCGAAAAAUAAGAAUGAGGACUUUUGUAAAAGCAGGACAAAAAAGUGUGAAGUUUGGUUUGUUUUUUUU